CGCUUUGCUGUGAAGCUAGCGUUAGCCCGGGGAAUGACGACACAACGCAGCACACCUUGACGUAGAGUGAACUUUAGAGUUGCCAGCGGAAUCCGUGGGAUUUGACUCCCAGUACUGCUCGAAAUGCACGGAGGAAAAUGAGUCAACAGCAUGCAGGUGUUUUUAUCAGGGUGCCAGAGGAUCUCCAGGAUCAGGAUUAUAUCUUAUGGGGAUGCAUCAGAACUGAUCCUGGUAUCUGAUAGGUUUGAUCCGAUUAUCCUCAUUUACUUAUAAAAAAUCUUCUCAUCCAGGAUCCACAUGCCACUAUUUGAAUGUACAUCAUCACAAUCUGUACAUAUUAAUGAUAAAUGAUGGGAAUUAAAGCAAAGCAAAGUACUCCAUGUAAUAACCUCGAGUUUUUUCCCAUGGAAACUUCACUGUAACCUCAAAAAACACUGAUAGUCAAAGGCAUUAGUCAUUGCAAGGUGCCACGCAUAGUGCACGCACAACAGUAUUUGCAAUCACGUAGCAGCAAAGCAACAGUGAUGGGAGCACCUCAGUUCUGCGAUCACGGAGCACAAAGACACACAUUUCCAUUCCCCAGACUUCCCCCUUCAGGAUCUAUACUUUGUUCAUGAGUCAAGCUGAAAUUCAUGCCACCGUGUUUCUGCUGUUGCAGUUUUUAUUAAGGAUACUGUUUUAACUAUAGGGCAGAGAAAGCAUGGAGGCCAUGCAGCAACUAAUAUCAACUGAACUAAUUCUAAUGGUCCAUCAUGGUGUCUGUAUCAAUGAGUGCUCUAAACUAAAAACAACCAAAAUGGCUAUUAAAUGUUACGACACAACAUGCGUUUCACAGUUCAGAUAGCAAAAUGCAUGUCCUGAUCUGUAAUAAAAGGUAAAUUAUUA